AUGAACGCUGCCAGAAUGCUUAACACAUGCCAGUCUUUGGCGAAGCUGUGCUUGCACAGCCUAGCCAAGGCGGACGGGUGAGUAACGCGUAAGGAACUUGCCCUGCAGUCAGGGAUAACAGACGGAAACGACUGAUAAGACCUGGUAAAGUCAGGCGGACUCAUGUCCAGCCUGAUGAAAAGAGAUGCUGCAGGAGAGCCUUGCGUCCUAUUAGCUUGUUGGUGGGGUAACGGCCCACCAAGGCGAUGAUAGGUAGCCGGCCUGAGAGGGUGGACGGCCACAAGGGGACUGAGAUACGGCCCUUACUCCUACGGGAGGCAGCAGUGGGGAAUAUUGGACAAUGGGGGCAACCCUGAUCCAGCAAUUCUGUGUGCACGAUGAAGGUUUUCGGAUUGUAAAGUGCUUUCAGCGGGGAAGAAAAAAAUGACGGUACCUGCAGAAGAAGCGACGGCUAAAUACGUG
rnacentral:rRNA from 1 species